UUAAUGAUGAUGAACAGAAGAGUAGUGCUUGAUAAUUUGUUAAGCGAGCUUCCGUGGAUGGAAAAGGAAGUCAAAUCCAAGCAUGAACCACAUCUGCAAAUUGAAUGGCUGAAUUUGAAAGUAAGCCGUGUCCGGUCAGUCCGUUAUCCUUUGCUUAGCAAGCACUGAGGUUUAUUUUGAAAAAAGUAAACAAAUUGAGGUGGAACCACGGUUUAUCGUCCUCUUG
rnacentral:ncRNA from 1 species